rnacentral:rRNA from 1 species
AACUUUCAACAACGGAUCUCUUGGUUCUGGCAUCGAUGAAGAACGCAGCGAAAUGCGAUAAGUAAUGUGAAUUGCAGAAUUCAGUGAACCAUCGAAUCUUUGAACGCACAUUGCGCCCGCCGGCAUCCCGGCGGGCAUGCCUGUCCGAGCGUCAUU